AAGGAUUCCCCUAGUAACUGCGAGUGAAGCGGGAAAAGCUCAAAUUUAAAAUCUGGCGGUCUUCUGGCCGUCCGAGUUGUAGUCUGGAGAAGCGUUUUCCGCGUUGGACCGUGUACAAGUUUCCUGGAACGGAGCGUCAUAGAGGGUGAGAAUCCCGUCUUUGACACGGAUACCAAUGCUUUGUGAUGCGCUCUCAAAGAGUCGAGUUGUUUGGGAAUGCAGCUCAAAAUGGGUGGUGAAUUCCAUCUAAAGCUAAAUAUUGGCGAGAGACCGAUAGCGAACAAGUACCGUGAGGGAAAGAUGAAAAGCACUUUGGAAAGAGAGUUAAACAGUACGUGAAAUUGUUGAAAGGGAAACGCUUGAAGUCAGUCGCGUCGGCCGGGACUCAGCCUUGCAUCCGCUUGGUGUACUUUCCGGUCGACGGGCCAGCAUCAGUUUUGACCGCGAGAUAAAGGCGGAGGGAAUGUGGCUCUCUCGGGAGUGUUAUAGCCCUUCGUCAGAUGUCGCGGUUGGGACUGAGGAACUCAGCACGCCUUUAUGGCCGGGGUUCGCCCACGUACGUGC
rnacentral:rRNA from 1 species